GACGAACGCUGGCGGCGUGCUUAACACAUGCAAGUCGAACGGAAAGGCCCUGCUUUUGUGGGGUGCUCGAGUGGCGAACGGGUGAGUAACACGUGAGUAACCUGCCCUUGACUUUGGGAUAACUUCAGGAAACUGGGGCUAAUACCGGAUAGGAGCUCCUGCUGCAUGGUGGGGGUUGGAAAGUUUCGGCGGUUGGGGAUGGACUCGCGGCUUAUCAGCUUGUUGGUGGGGUAGUGGCUUACCAAGGCUUUGACGGGUAGCCGGCCUGAGAGGGUGACCGGCCACAUUGGGACUGAGAUACGGCCCAGACUCCUACGGGAGGCAGCAGUGGGGAAUAUUGCACAAUGGGCGGAAGCCGGAUGCAGCAACGCCGCGUGCGGGAUGACGGCCUUCGGGGUGUAAACCGUUUUCGCCUGUGACGAAGCGUGAGUGACGGUAAUGUGUAAAGAAGCACCGGCUAACUACGUG
rnacentral:rRNA from 1 species